UCCCUGGUGGCUCAGAUGGUAAAGCAUCUGCCUGCAAUGCAGGAGACCUGGGUUUGAUCCCUGGGUUGGGAA
rfam:Ovis aries breed Texel chromosome 6, whole genome shotgun sequence.